UUGACCUCGGAUCAGGUAGGGAUACCCGCUGAACUUAAGCAUAUCAUAAAACCCCGAAGAAAA
rnacentral:rRNA from 1 species